CGGACGGUGAGUAACGCGUAGGAAUCUGCCCAGUAGUGGGGGACAACCCGGGGAAACUCGGGCUAAUACCGCAUACGCCCUACGGGGGAAAGAUGGCCUCUCCUUGGAAGCUGUCACUAUUGGAUGAGCCUGCGUCGGAUUAGCUAGUUGGUAGGGUAAAGGCCUACCAAGGCGACGAUCCGUAGCUGGUCUGAGAGGACGACCAGCCACACUGGGACUGAGACACGGCCCAGACUCCUACGGGAGGCAGCAGUGGGGAAUAUUGCACAAUGGGGGCAACCCUGAUGCAGCAACGCCGCGUGUGUGAAGAAGGCCUGCGGGUUGUAAAGCACUUUCAAUUGGGAAGAAAAGAUGAGGGUGAAUAGCCCUUGUUCUUGACGUUACCUUUAGAAGAAGCACCGGCUAACUCCGUGCCAGCAGCCGCGGUAAUACGGAGGGUGCGAGCAUUAAUCGGAAUUACUGGGCGUAAAGCGCGCGUAGGCGGUUUAGUCAGUCAGAUGUGAAAGCCCUGGGCUCAACCUGGGAACUGCAUUUGAUACUGCUGAACUGGAGUAUGGUAGAGGGAAGUGGAAUUCCGGGUGUAGCGGUGAAAUGCGUAGAUAUCCGGAGGAACACCAGUGGCGAAGGCGACUUCCUGGACCAAUACUGACGCUGAGGUGCGAAAGCGUGGGUAGCAAACAGGAUUAGAUACCC
rnacentral:rRNA from 1 species